rnacentral:rRNA from 1 species
GUGAGGAAUUUUCCGCAAUGGGCGAAAGCCUGAUCCAGCAAUGCCGCGUGCAGGAUGAAGGCCCUCGGGUUGUAAACUGCUUUUGUACGGAACGAAAAGCCUGGGGCUAAUAUCCCCGGGUCAUGACGGUACCGUAAGAAUAAGCACCGGCUAACUACGUGCCAGCAGCCGCGGUAAUACGUAGGGUGCAAGCGUUAAUCGGAAUUACUGGGCGUAAAGCGUGCGCAGGCGGUUUUGUAAGACAGUGGUGAAAUCCCCGGGCUCAACCUGGGAACUGCCAUUGUGACUGCAAGGCUAGAGUGCGGCAGAGGGGGAUGGAAUUCCGCGUGUAGCAGUGAAAUGCGUAGAUAUGCGGAGGAACACCGAUGGCGAAGGCAAUCCCCUGGGCCUGCACUGACGCUCAUGCACGAAAGCGUGGGGAGCAAACAGGAUUAGAUACCCUUGUAGUCC